CCCUGGUGGCCUGUGGUAAAGAAUCUGCUUGUAAUGCAGAAGACCUAGAUUCAAUCCCUAGAUCAGGAA
rnacentral:tRNA from 1 species